rnacentral:rRNA from 1 species
GGAAUCUUGCGCAAUGGGCGAAAGCCUGACGCAGCAACGCCGCGUGCGGGAAGAAGGCUUUCGGGCUGUAAACCGCUUUCAGCAGGAACGAAAAUGACGGUACCUGCAGAAGAAGGAGCGGCCAACUAUGUGCCAGCAGCCGCGGUGAUACAUAGGCUUCAAGCGUUGUCCGGAUUUAUUGGGCGUAAAGAGUUCGUAGGCGGUCAAGUAAGUCGGGUGUGAAAAUUCUGGGCUUAACCCAGAGACGCCACCCGAUACUGCUUAACUUGAGUUCGAUAGGGGAGUGGGGAAUUCCUAGUGUAGCGGUGAAAUGCGCAGAUAUUAGGAGGAACACCGGUGGCGAAGGCGCCACUCUGGAUCGAUACUGACGCUGAGGAACGAAAGCAUGGGUAGCAAGCAGGAUUAGAUACCCUGGUAGUCCAUGCCGUAAACGGUGGGCACUAGGUGUGGGAUUCUAUUAACGAAUUCCGCGCCGUCGCUAACGCAUUAAGUGCCCCGCCUGGGGAGUACGGUCGCAAGACUAAAACUCAAAUGAAUUGACGG